GGGUUGUGAGGUUAAGCGACUAAGCGUACACGGUGGAUGCCCUGGCAGUCAGAGGCGAUGAAGGGCGUGCUAAUCUGCGAUAAGCGCCGGUAAGGUGAUAUGAACCGUUAUAACCGGCGAUACCCGAAUGGGGAAACCCAGUGUGAUUCGUCACACUAUCAUUAACUGAAUCCAUAGGUUAAUGAGGCGAACCGGGGGAACUGAAACAUCUAAGUACCCCGAGGAAAAGAAAUCAACCGAGAUUCCCCCAGUAGCGGCGAGCGAACGGGGAGGAGCCCAGAGCCUGAAUCAGCAUGUGUGUUAGUGGAAGCGUCUGGAAAGGCGCGCGAUACAGGGUGACAGCCCCGUACACAAAAGCGCAUGUGCUGUGAGCUCGAUGAGUAGGGCGGGACACGUGGUAUCCUGUCUGAAUAUGGGGGGACCAUCCUCCAAGGCUAAAUACUCCUGACUGACCGAUAGUGAACCAGUACCGUGAGGGAAAGGCGAAAAGAACCCCGGCGAGGGGAGUGAAAAAGAACCUGAAACCGUGUACGUACAAGCAGUGGGAGCACCCUUCGGGGUGUGACUGCGUACCUUUUGUAUAAUGGGUCAGCGACUUAUAUUCUGUAGCAAGGUUAACCGAAUAGGGGAGCCGGAGGGAAACCGAGUCUUAAUUGGGCGUUAAGUUGCAGGGUAUAGACCCGAAACCCGGUGAUCUAGCCAUGGGCAGGUUGAAGGUUGGGUAACACUAACUGGAGGACCGAACCGACUAAUGUUGAAAAAUUAGCGGAUGACCUGUGGCUGGGGGUGAAAGGCCAAUCAAACCGGGAGAUAGCUGGUUCUCCCCGAAAGCUAUUUAGGUAGCGCCUCGUGAAUUCAUCUCCGGGGGUAGAGCACUGUUUCGGCUAGGGGGCCAUCCCGGCUUACCAACCCGAUGCAAACUGCGAAUACCGGAGAAUGUUAUCACGGGAGACACACGGCGGGUGCUAACGUCCGUCGUGAAGAGGGAAACAACCCAGACCGCCAGCUAAGGUCCCAAAGUCAUGGUUAAGUGGGAAACGAUGUGGGAAGGCCCAGACAGCCAGGAUGUUGGCUUAGAAGCAGCCAUCAUUUAAAGAAAGCGUAAUAGCUCACUGGUCGAGUCGGCCUGCGCGGAAGAUGUAACGGGGCUAAACCAU
rnacentral:rRNA from 1 species